AUAAAUUUUAUAGAAUAAAUUAUUAAGCUAAGUCAUAUUUAUUUAAUAAAAAAUGGUUAGGUAAGGUUGUUAAUGGGUGUGAAAGGUUGGGUUGUGUAGGUGAAAGAGAGAGAAAUUAAUUUUUUAUUGAAAGUUGGGUUGGGUUGGGUUGGGUUGGGUUGUGAAUGGGGAUAGUCUAAGGUGUUUCAAAACCUUAUCUUCUUCAUUUCACACAUAAUCCAAACACAAACAUACACCUACCGUUCUCUCUUUCCCUCCAGAUUUCCGGCAGCCGGACUCCGACCGGCGGAGCCGGCGAGGGUGCGGUGGCGGCACAGCGGCGCCACCGCCGGUGGCGGUGUUCCGGCGAUGAUUUCCCGACGCGUGAGCGCGUGUACCCCCCUAAAGUGUAUCUUUUGAGCACAUUUCCGACAUCUAUUUUCCUAUCUGAGCUACAGAGGUAGCAGAUUCGGGCUCCAACAGCCGCACUUUUCCGGUGGUGGUGUGUUGGUUCCGGCCAUGGAAAGACGGUGGUGGUUGUUCGCGUCAAAUUCCGGCAGGGUGGGGGUGUACCAACGGCAGAGGUGGUGGUUGUCGGGGUUUUGUUUACCAGGAAUAAGGAGUUGGGGAAGGGGUGUUGACGGUAAUGACAACAAACAAGCCGCAGCCGGCCAGCGACGGUAGUGGUGGUGGUGGCUAAUUUUUAAGACAAGUGUUUCGGGUUUUGUUCGGUUCGGGUCUCGGCUCAAUUUCGGUUCGUCAAAAGCAGUCAACGGCUCAGAUCCGUUUCGGGUCAAACCCACUCGACUCAGUCAACAUCGGGUCAACUCAGUCAACACCGGGUCAACUUAGUCAACCCGGUCAAGUCGGUGAACAUAAGUCAACUGGUCAACUACUGGUCAACGCAGUCAACUCAGUCAACGCAAGGCUCGGUAACACAAUAACGAUGCGAAUUUUGUUAUAUUCUUUUAUAUAUUUAUUAUUUAACGCGAACCGAGCUCGAAGCGACAUAUAAUGACGUAAUUUGUAUACAAAUAUAUAUAUAUUGGUUUAGUAUUCGGUACA